UUUUGUUAGGUUUCCUCUUCUUUUGGUUGCUCCCUUCAGCGGAUCAUCUGCCUCACCCUAUCCCUAGCAUCCUCCUCUAUCACACCAACCUUCUGAAUGUCCACCUUCACCAUUUCCAUGAAUCUUGCCUGAGGUCUUCCUCCUUCUGCCUGGCAGCUCCAUCUUGAACAUCCUUUGUCAAAUCUAUCCACUAUCUCUCCUCAACACAUGUCCAAACCAUUUCAGCCUCUCUUUGUCUCCAAAAUUCUUCUCGUUGUCCUUGUUUUGAAUCCUGUCGUCCCCGGUCACUCCCAGUGGAAAUCUUAACAUCUUCAGCUCUGCCACCUCCAGCUUGGCCUCCUGUCUAUUGUCAGUCUUGCUGUCUUGACACCAUACAUCAUAGCAGAUACUACUUCAGUCUCGUAAACCAUCCCUUUCACUCCUGCUUAUAUCUUUAUGCCACAAAUUACCCCUGACACUUGUUCCCUCCCACUCCACAUGCUCAACUGUCUGUUGUUUUGGAUGGUUGACCCCAGGUAUUUAAACUUGCACAUCUUUACUACCUCUACUCCUUUCAUUUUCACUGUUACACACUGUCUCCCUCAUUCACAAAACUGUAUUCUGUUUUUUAUUUUACUGACUUUCACUCCUCUUCUCCUCAGAUCUCCACCCCUCCAGAUUCUACAGCCUCUCUUAUUUCCAAAGCUGAAUUUUGUUUUGUUACUAUAAUGACUACAAUGUUGAGGUAAAUGCCUGACUUUUCCGUUUUUGAAACUUGCCAGUAGUUUGCACCUUGUGGUCAAUCCCCUGUGCAUCUGCAAUAUGUUUUGAUCCACAAGGGAACGAGCAAACCUACUCCUGGAGAAGCUUCUUGACCUGCUGUGCUGUUAUAAAAGGGUUUUUUGUUUUUGUGCCUCUCAGUCUGCCAGUUUCUUUCUCACUUCCUACUUUUCUUUAGUACUUACUACAUUUUAAGCACUCUUUGGUGCAUGAAAUAAUGUUGAAACAAUACACAGCUGGAUAAAACAGCUGUUUGUAGUCAAGUACUUCAUGGUUAAAUCCUUGUGAUGCAAAACUUGUUUUAAGGCUACAGCUCACACAUAAUUUGUCAUGGUCCCUGUGCCUCCCCGGACAGCCCAGUGUGGCCACAAGUGUUUGUUGUUUUACUCUCUCUCUGCUCCCCUCACCUUGCUCUCUCUCUCUCUCCUACCUGUCUGCCUGGGCGGAGCUCUGAUUGGGCUCCCGCCCUUGGCCCACGCACCUGCAGCUGAUCUCCGGUGAUUUGCAGCUCUUCUUAAGACAGGGGCUCUGAGCUACUCGUCGCUGGAAUAUUGAGUAACUCUCGUUUACCUGGAUCAGCCCUUUUGUGACCCCUGGACCCCGUGAGUGUGAGUGGGCAGCUUGUGUGGAGAUUGUUUGGACAAGCAGCGGAGCAAGUGCGAAGAAGUGUGUUUCCCCAGCCUAUUGAUCCCCGGAACCCUGGAGUCCCCCCCCUUCACGUGUACAUUUCGCACCAGUGUGAUUAAUAAAGUAUUGUUGAACUGUG